GUGAGGAAUAUUGGUCAAUGGACGAGAGUCUGAACCAGCCAAGUCGCGUGAAGGAAGACGGUUCUAUGAAUUGUAAACUUCUUUUGUGCAGGAAUAAAGUGGGUUACGUGUAACCUUUUGUAUGUACUGUACGAAUAAGGAUCGGCUAACUCCGUGCCAGCAGCCGCGGUAAUACGGAGGAUCCGAGCGUUAUCCGGAUUUAUUGGGUUUAAAGGGUGCGUAGGUGGAGUGAUAAGUCAGCGGUGAAAGUUUGCAGCUUAACUGUAAAAUUGCCGUUGAAACUGUCGGUCUUGAGUGCAAAUGAGGUAGGCGGAAUGUGUUGUGUAGCGGUGAAAUGCUUAGAUAUAACACAGAACUCCGAUUGCGAAGGCAGCUUACUUGGAUGCAACUGACACUGAUGCACGAAAGCGUGGGUAUCAAACAGGAUUAGAAACCCCUGUAGUCC
rnacentral:rRNA from 1 species